AAACCCAAUGUGAACGUUACCAAACUGUUGCCUCGGCGGGAUCUCUGCCCCGGGUGCGUCGCAGCCCCGGACCAAGGCGCCCGCCGGAGGACCAACCUAAAACUCUUAUUGUAUACCCCCUCGCGGGUUUUUUUAUAAUCUGAGCCUUCUCGGCGCCUYUCGUAGGCGUUUCRAAAAUGAAUCAAAACUUUCAACAASGGAUCUCUUGGUUCUGGCAUCGAUGAARAACGCAGCGAAAUGCGAUAAGUAAUGUGAAUUGCAGAAUUCAGUGAAUCAUCGAAUCUUUGAACGCACAUUGCGCCCGCCAGUAUUCUGGCGGGCAUGCCUGUCCGAGCGUCAUUUCAACCCUCGAACCCCUCCGGGGGGUCGGCGUUGGGGAUCGGCCCUCCCUUAGCGGGUGGCCGUCUCCGAAAUACAGUGGCGGUCUCGCCGCAGCCUCUCCUGCGCAGUAGUUUGCACACUCGCAUCGGGAGCGCGGCGCGUCCACAGCCGUUAAACACCCAACUUCUGAAAUGUUGACCUCGGAUCAGGUAGGAAUACCCGCUGAACUUAAGCAUAUCAAUAAGCGRAGG
rnacentral:rRNA from 1 species